rnacentral:rRNA from 1 species
UACCCGCUGAACUUAAGCAUAUCUAUAAGCGGAGGAAAAAAAACUUACCAGGAUUCCCCUAGUAGCUGCGAGUGUAGCGGGAAAAGCUCAAAUUUAAAAUCUGGCAGUCUCUGGCUGUCCGAGUUGUAAUCUAGAGAAGUGUUAUCCGCGCUGAACCGUGUAUAAGUCUCCUGGAAUGGAGCGUCAUAGAGAGUGAGAAUCCCGUCUUGGACACGGACAACCAGUACAUUGUGAUGCGCUCUCAAAGAGUCGAGUUGUUUGGGAAUGCAGCUCUAAAUGAGUGGUAAAUUCCAUCUAAAGCUAAAUAUUGGCGAGAGACCGAUAGCGAACAAGUACCGUGAGGGAAAGAUGAAAAGAACUUUGGAAAGAGAGUUAACCAGUACGUGAAGUAGUUGAAAUUUCCACCCAAACACUCGGCUUAAGUUCAGCGGGUACCCGCUGAACUUAAGCAUAUCAAUAAGCGGAGGAAAAGAAACUAACAAGGAUUCCCCUAGUAGCUGCGAGUGAAGCGGGAAAAGCUCAAAUUUAUUUUCUGCCAGUCUCUGGGGACCGACAGGGACUGUACCGAAAGAAAUUAGUUCCCACCCAACACAUCUGGCAAUUACCAGGCGGAGUACCCUGCUGAGACUUAAUCAUAUCGCUUAGCGGAGUA